rnacentral:rRNA from 1 species
UACGGGGUGCAGCAGGCGCGAAAACUUUACAAUGCUGGCAACAGCGAUAAGGGAACCUCGAGUGCCAGGUUACAAAUCUGGCUGUCGAGAUGCCUAAAAAGCAUUUCAUAGCAAGGGCCGGGCAAGACCGGUGCCAGCCGCCGCGGUAACACCGGCGGCUCGAGUGGUAACCGUUAUUAUUGGGUCUAAAGGGUCUGUAGCCGGCCGGAUAAGUCUCUUGAGAAAUCUGGCAGCUUAACUGUCAGGCUUUCAGGAGAUACUGUCUGGCUCGAGGCCGGGAGAGGUGAGAGGUACUUCAGGGGUAGGGGUGAAAUCUUGUAAUCCUUGAAGGACCACCAGUGGCGAAGGCGUCUCACCAGAACGGACCUGACGGCAAGGGACGAAAGCUAGGGGCACGAACCGGAUUAGAUACCCGGGUAGUCCUAGCCGUAAACGAUACUCGCUAGGUGUCGGCCACGGUGCGACCGUUGUCGGUGCCGUAGGGAAGCCG